GGGAUCUGAGAAUAAGGCCGAAUGUGAAUAUCUCACGAUUCCUUUCAUGACAGUUCAUCCAGCUGCACAGAGAGGCAGCCUGGGCUGACGUGCAGCUUUGCCCUCCUCUCCUCUCCCCAACCUGGGACGCACAUGUGAGGCUCGAAGCGCCACAGCCACGGGGUCAAGUGCCACAGGCCAGAGAUGGUGGAGGGAACAACCCACAGACCCGGAGGCCUGGGGGACCCUGGAUUCGCGGCACCACCGCAGGACAGUCGGCCUCGGCGCUCAUCGGCCCGGAGGAGAGCCGUCUCUGGCUCAGCCAGACCGUGUCACCAGGGGCCCUGUCGCAUGUGGUCCACAAGAAGCCUCGGGAGCAAGCAGGGCCCAAGAAGAGAGACGGGUGUGGACAGAUACCGUGGGGACCUUGCAGUUAAGGGGGAGGAGGCUCAGCUUGCAGGGGAAACUGAGGUAAAAUGUGUUCCUGGGCUCUGGGGACCGAGACCUCAACAUCUUUGGAAGGCACGAGAAAUAAGACGUGGGAAGAUGUGUUAUAUUUGAAUGGAUCCUUCAAGGCUCUGCGAGAGUUUUAUGCAGGAAAGCCUUUGUGCAAAAAGGAAAAGGGAUUCACACGAAGAACGUGCUUGCUCAAGGCCUGGAGACAAGAAAGCAUAGCUACUGUUUUCCUUUUUUGAUGACCUGCUUUUCUUUGUCUUUGGAAAGACCCAACCUCUGCCCCAAUGCCGCUAGGGUUCAGAGGUUUACUACCCUUCACUGCAGUUCACUUCUUCCUACGAUGGCUCUGAACAGAGAAGAACCUGCCUUAAAUUGAACCAGGCUGUUCUCUUCAUCACUGGACACCUUAAUAGACCUCACAGUCCCCAGAAGUCGCUUCAGUUGGACCAGAAAGGGGGACUGGGCAAUGGAAGGGUCAUGGCACACAGGGGUCUGAUACAUCCGGAAGGUUCUCUGAGGUUCAUCCUUGGGCAGACUGUUCCUCUUAAAAGCCUCAGAACAGGUCACCAGGCCAAUAACUUACUAGAACAAUACCAUUCCCAAAGCUGCUGGCCUCCUCUACUCCUGUGCUACAAGUCAACUGAAAAGAACUUGAGCUGAGGCUGAAUUUGGACUUGAGCUUCAAGAGAUUAAAAACUCAGAAAUGCUGACAUUUUCUGUUUCUCUUGAUGUCAUUGCGAACGUAAAUUGCUAGAGGUUUGGAGUCAGGGAGGCCCACUGCCCUCUCCCUGAGAUAAGUCAGGGUUCUGACAGCCUCAGUCCAGGGAAUCACUGCUGUGGCCAUGGGCAAGGGUGGCCAGGAACUCUGUGGGCUGCGGAGGGAGGACAGUGCCUGGACAGGUUGGCCCAGGACACACCUCCAGGUCCCUGAUCUCUCUGCAUCCUCUGUUGACAUCCUCUGCCCCUGCGUCUCCUCUAUGCCAGGC